rnacentral:tRNA from 1 species
GUCCAGGGGCGGGAAUCGAACCCACACCCUUAUGCUUACCGGGCAGGUGACUUGUCCACUCGGCUACCCUGGA